GCAGUGGUGAUUCAGUGGGUAGAAUCCUUGCCUUCCAAGUAGGCGACUCAGGUUUUUAUUCCGAACCAAUGCA
rnacentral:tRNA from 1 species